UCUAAAAGUGCUUGUCAACAAACUGUCAACUGUUGUCUUAUAAUAUUCUUCAGUUACUGCUUUACUUUCCAGCCAUUGAUGAGAUAAGUGACAAAAGAAAGCGUUAGCGGUUGAAUCCGUCCCAAAAUUGGACCGGAGCCGAAACAACAGAAUUUUUAGGAACUGUUAUGGAGGAAGUCAAACAAAACCAGGAGGCGUUUGAGAAACCUACUGCCCAAUACUUUCAUAAGAAGAUUGCUGAGAAGGUACCAUCCAUUCAAGCUCUGAGCUGGACGGUGAUGAAGAGUAAAAUGCGUAAUUUAAAGACGUCAUAUCUGAAAGCAAAAUCGUGGAGAGGUCAGACUGGGGCUGGCCUUUUGGCGGAGGGUAAUGAAUCGAGUGUGUCGGAGUAUAUUCAUAAAAUAUGCCCUCAUUGGCAGAUUCUGGAGUAAACUUUCGGUCUGCGGAAAACUGUCAACCCGGUCGUUGUGAUUGACACAUCAAGCAGCAACUAUGAAGAAUGCAUCAAUGGAACGGAUGUUGUGGGCCAAUUCGAAGGAACUAAUCAAGAAGUUACCUACGUCGAAGAGGUAAUUGAAGAGCAAGUGGUUGAGCAAGAUUCUGAUGAUAUACCGGAUCCGACUGCACAGCCGAGUACCAGCGGAAUGAGUUUUAUGGCAUUCAAGAACCAGUUAAAAAAGCAGCCUUUGAAGAGGAAUAAAGCAACAUCUAAUUCUGGAUCCAUUUCUUUUUUGGUGGACUACAAGAGAAAAAGCUGAAGUUCGAAGACACAAAAUGGAAUAAGCAGAUGCAAUUGGAUGAGGAAAGACUACAGUUGGCUAAAUUGCAGAUGAAAAAUUAAAUUGAGUUGAAAAAAAUUGAAUUGCAGCAACAGAUGAAAAUAAGAAAAUUUGAAUUGGACAAGGAAGAAAGACUUGCAGUAAUCAGAAUGAAAUUGGACGUGGAGUGUAUGGAAAGGAUUAAGAAGUACGAACUUGAUUUUUAAAUCAAAUAAUCAUGCUUAAUUGCUCAACUCUUGAACUAAGACAAUUGAUUAAUCA